ACGAUAUUCCGCUGAUAGAAGAAAUCUAUGCAUGAAUGUUUG
rfam:Jeotgalibaca sp. PTS2502, complete genome.